rnacentral:rRNA from 1 species
UGUUGCAGUUAAAAAGCUCGUAGUCGAACCUUGGGCCUGGCUGGCCGGUCCGCCUCACCGCGUGUACUGGUCCGGCCGGGCCUUUCCCUCUGUGGAACCCCAUGCCCUUCACUGGGUGUGGCGGGGAAACAGGACUUUUACUGUGAAAAAAUUAGAGUGCUCCAGGCAGGCCUAUGCUCGAAUACAUUAGCAUGGAAUAAUAGAAUAGGACGUGUGGUUCUAUUUUGUUGGUUUCUAGGACCGCCGUAAUGAUUAAUAGGGACAGUCGGGGGCAUCAGUAUUCAAUUGUCAGAGGUGAAAUUCUUGGAUUUAUUGAAGACUAACUACUGCGAAAGCAUUUGCCAAGGAUGUUUUCAUUAAUCAGGAACGAAAGUUAGGGGAUCGAAGACGAUCAGAUACCGUCGUAGUCUUAACCAUAAACUAUGCCGACUAGGGAUCGGACGGUGUUAUUUUUUGACCCGUUCGGCACCUUACGAGAAAUCAAAG